rnacentral:rRNA from 1 species
GCUCUUUUGGGUCUUGUAAUUGGAAUGAGUACAAUUUAAAUCCCUUAACGAGGAACAAUUGGAGGGCAAGUCUGGUGCCAGCAGCCGCGGUAAUUCCAGCUCCAAUAGCGUAUAUUAAAGUUGUUGUGGUUAAAAAGCUCGUAGUUGAACCUUGGGCCUGGCUGGCCGGUCCGCCUCACCGCGUGUACUGGUCCGGCCGGGCCUUUCCCUCUGUGGAACCCCAUGCCCUUCACUGGGUGUGGCGGGGAAACAGGACUUUUACUUUGAAAAAAUUAGAGUGCUCCAGGCAGGCCUAUGCUCGAAUACAUUAGCAUGGAAUAAUAGAAUAGGACGUGUGGUUCUAUUUUGUUGGUUUCUAGGACCGCCGUAAUGAUUAAUAGGGACAGUCGGGGGCAUCAGUAUUCAAUUGUCAGAGGUGAAAUUCUUGGAUUUAUUGAAGACUAACUACUGCGAAAGCAUUUGCCAAGGAUGUUUUCAUUAAUCAGGAACGAAAGUUAGGGGAUCGAAGACGAUCAGAUACCGUCGUAGUCUUAACCAUAAACUAUGCCGACUAGGGAUCGGACGAUGUUAUUUUUUGACUCGUUCGGCACCUUACGAGAAAUCAAAGUGCUUGGGCUCCAGGGGGAGUAUGGUCGCAAGGCUAAAACUUAAAGAAAUUGACGGAAGGGCACCACCGGGGGUGGAGCCUGCGGCUUAAUUUGACACAACACGGGGAAACUCACCAGGUCCAGACACAAUGAGGAUUGACAGAUUGAGAGCUCUUUCUUGAUUUUGUGGGUGGUGGUGCAUGGCCGUUCUUAGUUGGUGGAGUGAUUUGUCUGCUUAAUUGCGAUAACGAACGAGACCUUAACCUGCUAAAUAGCCCGUAUUGCUUUGGCAGUACGCUGGCUUCUUAGAGGGACUAUCGGCUCAAGCCGAUGGAAGUUUGAGGCAAUAACAGGUCUGUGAUGCCCUUAGAUGUUCUGGGCCGCACGCGCGCUACACUGACGGAGCCAGCGAGUUCUCCCUUGGCCGGAAGGUCCGGGUAAUCUUGUUAAACUCCGUCGUGCUGGGGAUAGAGCAUUGCAAUUAUUGCUCUUCAACGAGGAAUCCCUAGUAAGCGCAAGUCAUCAGCUUGCGUUGAUUACGUCCCUGCCCUUUGUACACACCGCCCGUCGCUACUACCGAUUGAAUGGCUCAGUGAGGCGUCCGGACUGGCCCAGAGAGGUGGGCAACUACCCCUCAGGGCCGGAAAGCUCUCCAAACUCGGUCAUUUAGAGGAAGUAAAAGUCGUAACAAGGUCUCCGUUGGUGAACCAGCGGAGG